GACGAACGCUGGCGGCGUGCCUAAUACAUGCAAGUCGAGCGGAUGACGGAGGAGCUUGCUCCUCCUGAUUCAGCGGCGGACGGGUGAGUAACACGUGGGCAACCUGCCCUGUAGAUUGGGAUAACUCCGGGAAACCGGGGCUAAUACCGAAUAAUCCUUCGGACCUCAUGGUCCGAUGUUGAAAGACGGUUUCGGCUGUCACUACAGGAUGGGCCCGCGGCGCAUUAGUUAGUUGGUGAGGUAACAGCUCACCAAGGCCACGAUGCGUAGCCGACCUGAGAGGGUGAUCGGCCACACUGGGACUGAGACACGGCCCAGACUCCUACGGGAGGCAGCAGUAGGGAAUCUUCCACAAUGGACGAAAGUCUGAUGGAGCAACGCCGCGUGAGUGAAGAAGGUUCUCGGAUCGUAAAACUCUGUUGUGAGGGAAGAACAAGUACCGGAGUAACUGCCGGUGCCUUGACGGUACCUCAUUAGAAAGCCACGGCUAACUCUGUGCCAGCAGCCGCAGUAA
rnacentral:rRNA from 1 species